rnacentral:rRNA from 1 species
AUUGAACGCUGGCGGCAUGCUUUACACAUGCAAGUCGAGCGGCAGCGCGGGGGCAACCCUGGCGGCGGGCGACGAACGGGUGAGUAAUGCAUCGGAACGUAUCCUCGAGUGGGGGAUAACCCAGCGAAAGUUGGGCUAAUACCGCAUGAGCUCUGAGGAGGAAAGCGGGGGACCUGCGAGGGCCUCGCGCUGGAGGGGCGGCCGAUGUCCGAUUAGCUAGUUGGUGGGGUAAAGGCUUACCAAGGCGACGAUCGGUAGCUGGUCUGAGAGGAUGAUCAGCCACACUGGGACUGAGACACGGCCCAGACUCCUACGGGAGGCAGCAGUGGGGAAUUUUGGACAAUGGGGGCAAGCCUGAUCCAGCCAUGCCGCGUGAGUGAAGAAGGCCUUCGGGUUGUAAAGCUCUUUUGGACGGAACGAAAUGGGCGGGACUAAUACUCCUGUCUUAUGACGGUACCGUAAGAAGAAGCACCGGCUAACUACGUG